AACGGCCAUACCAUGCUGAAUAUACCGGUUCUCGUUAGAUCACCGAAGUCAAGCAUCAUUGGGCGCGGUCAGUACUUGGGUGGGUGACCACCUGGGAACACCGCGUGCAGU